rnacentral:misc_RNA from 1 species
AAGACUAUAGACCUGCGGAGUACCUGCGGAAGGAUCAUUACCGAGUUAUUACUCCAAACCCUUUGUGAACCUUACCAUUGUUCUGUUGCCUCGGCGGGGGUCGGCCCCUAAAGCCACCCCCGCCGGCAGCACCAAACUCUUGAAUUUUAUAGCGGAUUACGUUUCUGAAUUACAAUACAAAACAAAUCAAAACUUUCAACAACGGAUCUCU